rnacentral:tRNA from 1 species
GCCUCAGUAGCUCAGUGGAUAGAGCACGGCUCUCCUAAAGCCGGUGUCGGAAGUUCGAUUCUUCUCUGGGGCGCAA